rnacentral:rRNA from 1 species
GUAGGUGGCAAGCGUUGUCCGGAAUUAUUGGGCGUAAAGCGCGCGCAGGCGGUUCUUUAAGUCUGAUGUGAAAGCCCACGGGCUCAACCGUGGAGGGUCAUUGGAAACUGGAGAACUUGAGUACAGAAGAGGAAAGCGGAAUUCCACGUGUAGCGGUGAAAUGCGUAGAGAUGUGGAGGAACACCAGUGGCGAAGGCGGCUUUCUGGUCUGUAACUGACGCUGAGGCGCGAAAGCGUGGGGAGCAAACAGGAUUAGAUACCCUGGUAGUCCACGCCGUAAACGAUGAGUGCUAAGUGUUAGGGGGUUUCCGCCCCUUAGUGCUGCAGCUAACGCAUUAAGCACUCCGCCUGGGGGGUACGGCCGCAAAGGCUG